rnacentral:hammerhead_ribozyme from 1 species
AUCCAAAUGAUGAGUCCCAAACAGGACGAAAUACGCACCCUGGAG